UACAGAGGGGGCAAGCGUUAUUCGGAAUUAUUGGGCGUAAAGGGCGCGUAGGCGGCUUUGCAAGUGGCGGGUGAAAUCCCUCGGCUUAACCGAGGAACUGCCUGCCAGACUGUGAGGCUUGAGACCGGGGAGAGGUGAGUGGAAUUCCCAGUGUAGCGGUGAAAUGCGUAGAUAUUGGGAAGAACACCAGCGGCGAAAGCGCGUGACUGGACCAAAAACUGACACUCAUGGACGAAAAGCUAGGGGGAGCGAAAGGG
rnacentral:rRNA from 1 species